GACGAACCGUGCGAACGUUGUUCGGAAUCACUGGGCUUAAAGGGCGCGUAGGCGGGCUGACAAGUCUGGGGUGAAAUGCCGCGGCUCAACCGUGGAACUGCCUGUCAAACUGCAUGGCUUGAGACCAGGAGAGGUGAGUGGAAUUCCCGGUGUAGCGGUGAAAUGCGCAGAUAUCGGGAGGAACACCUAUGGCGAAGGCAGCUCGCUGGGACGUUACUGACGCUGAGACGCGAAAGCGUGGGGAGCAAACAGG
rnacentral:rRNA from 1 species